rnacentral:rRNA from 1 species
AGCGUAGACGGAGUGGCAAGUCUGAUGUGAAAACCCGGGGCUCAACCCCGGGACUGCAUUGGAAACUGUCAAUCUAGAGUACCGGAGAGGUAAGCGGAAUUCCUAGUGUAGCGGUGAAAUGCGUAGAUAUUAGGAGGAACACCAGUGGCGAGGGCGGCUUACUGGACGGUAACUGACGUUGAGGCUCGAAAGCGUGGGGAGCAAACA